UACGUAGGGGGCAAGCGUUGUCCGGAAUCAUUGGGCGUAAAGCGCGUGUAGGCGGCUUCGUAAGUCCGUUGUGAAAGUCCAGGGCUCAACCCUGGAAUGCCGAUGGAUACUGCGGAGCUAGAGUCCGGAAGAGGCGAGUGGAAUUCCUGGUGUAGUGGUGAAAUGCGUAGAUAUCGGGAGGAACACCAGUGGCGAAGGCGACUACCUGGCCUGUUCUUGACGCUGAUGCGCGAAAGCGUGGGUAGCAAACAGG
rnacentral:rRNA from 1 species